rnacentral:rRNA from 1 species
ACCCUGGCGACGAGCGGCGGACGGGUGAGUAACGCGUAGGAAUCUACCUGGUAGUGGGGGAUAGCCCGGGGAAACUCGGAUUAAUACCGCAUACGCCCCAAGGGGGAAAGCAGGGGAUCUUCGGACCUUGCGUUAUUAGAGCGGCCGAUAUCUGAUUAGGUAGUUGGUAGGGUAAUAGCCUACCAAGGCGACGAUCAGUAGCUGGUUUGAGAGGAUGAUCAGCCACACUGGGACUGAGACACGGCCCAGACUCC